rnacentral:rRNA from 1 species
GGCUCUUCGGUUAUUAAUUAAAUGAGGAGUCGGACCUGCCCGGUGACCUACGGGUUAAACGGCCGCGGUACACUGACCGUGCAAAGGUAGCACAAUCACUUGCCCUUUAAUUAGAGGCUGGUAUGAAUGGUUUGACGAGGGUUGAGCUGUCUCUUUUGGAAUAUUUAAAAAUUAACUUCUAGGUGAAAAGGCCUAGAUUGAGCUGAGGGACGAGAAGACCCUGUUGAGCUUUAGUGUUGGGUAAAGAGUGGCAUAUUCUAUUAUUAUAGAAAGUUUAGAUUUACUUUUACAUCUUUAGUUGGGGUGACUAGGGAACAUGGAUAGCUUCUCUGUUGUUUGUUUAACUUAAUUUGGUGGACUGACUGGUGAUCCAGCAUUGUUGAUUAUCGGAAAAAGUUACCACAGGGAUAACAGCGUAAUCUUUCUGGAGAGUUCACAUUGAAAGAAGGGUUUGCGACCUCGAUGUUGGAUUAAGGUGUCCUGAGGGUGUAGCAGCUUUCGUUGGUUGGUCUGUUCGACCAUUAAAACCUU